GAUAAACGCUGGCGGCGUGCAUAACACAUGCAAGUCGAACGAUGAAGAUUAAAAGAUUUCUUCGGAAUGAACUUAAUUGGAUUAGUGGCGGACGGGUGAGUAACGCGUGAGUAACCUGCCUUGUACAAGGGGAUAGCCGUUGGAAACGACGAAUAAUACCCUAUGACAUCAAAUAAUCGCAUGAUAAUUUGAUCAAAGAUUUAUCGGUAUAAGAUGGACUCGCGUCUGAUUAGCUAGUUGGUAGAGUAAAAGCCUACCAAGGCAACGAUCAGUAGCCGGCUUGAGAGAGUGUACGGCCACAUUGGGACUGAGACACGGCCCAGACUCCUACGGGAGGCAGCAGUGGGGAAUGUUGCACAAUGGGGGAAACCCUGAUGCAGCGACGCCGCGUGAUUUAGAAGGCCUUCGGGUUGUAAAAAUCUUUUGUAUGGGAAGAAAAUGACAGUACCAUACGAAUAAGGACCGGCUAAGUACGUG
rnacentral:rRNA from 1 species